GCCUGGCUGGCUCAGUCGGUUGAGCAUCAGAUUUUAGCUCGGGUCAUGAUCUCACGGUUUGUGGGUUUGAGUCCCGUGUCGGGCU
rnacentral:tRNA from 1 species